GAAAAACCAUACCUUGCACAAGGUCCCAUAUCAAACAAGUUGAUUUACUCAGGAUAUAGUUGCACGCAAGGCUGGUUCUUUACACCAUGUAGCAGUGACCCUUGUUUGAGGGGAUUGAAUAAUAUUCUGCGACUGUAUGUUAAGAAGGUCAACAGCUCAAAAUGGGAGAAAAUCUCUGUUCCUUCAAGUGUUCGGUCAAUAGUCACUCUUAAUCUCCCUAGCUAUGGCGGUGGAAGGAAUCCAUGGGGACGUUUGAAGCCAGAGUACUUGGAGAAGAGGGGUUUUGUGGAAGCUCAUGCAGAUGAUGGUUGCAUUGAAAUUUUUGGCCUGAAACAAGGAUGGCAUGCCUCUAUGGUUAUGGUUGAGCUCAUUUCUGCAAAACACAUUGCCCAGGCUUCAGCAAUUCGAUUUGAGUUGCGUGCAGGAGAGUGGGAUGAAGCUUAUAUGCAGAUGGACGGUGAACCAUGGAAACAACCAAUUAGCAAGGAAUAUUCAACCUUCAUUGAAAUUAAGAGAGUACCAUUUCAGUCUCUCAUGGUUAACGGCAAGAGAAAUUGAUCUUGUAGUUAUCUAUAUUCAUGUAAAGCAUUUCAAUCUCCCAGAAUAGCUUUUGCUUGUUC
rnacentral:misc_RNA from 1 species